GCGACCUGGGCCCUGGCCCAGGGCAGCAUAGUAACAGGGGGCAUCAGGCCUCGUCCAUCUAUUAUGGGUAUAUUUGAUUUAUAGUCAAGAAAAUAUGAUCCGAUCUUCAAUUACGUUAUAAGCACGCCUAAUAACUAGCAAGGGCGCGAUUCUGAAAAUUGAAGAUGAAGGCGGCAAUCGAAGCGUCUAAAAAUCUCACGCCUUAUCUUUCUUCGUGGUAAAGCCAGCCUAAACCCUAAACCCUAUUUCGAGAAGCCAUGGAGAAGACAGGAGACGAGCGAGCCUAGAGACGCAGCAUAAUCAUAUAUGCGUACAUAACUGAUUCCAAUUUUGAGAAGGGCUAGAAUUAGUGCUGAUUUCUGGAAUAUUUUAUGGUUAUGAAAGCUAAAGUGAAAUAGGUAUUAAGAAGUUCAUGGUGGAUUCUUUUGCUUAAAGUUUGAUGCCAUUUUGUGUCUCCCUCUUAAAGUUUAUUGCUAUUGUUUUUGUUUAUAUUUCAUUCUUGUAAUCAUGCUAGCUUUUCUAAUAAAAUUUGAUGUCAUUCCAAAAAAUAGGUAAAUAAUACUUUUGCUUCAAAUAAAUUAUGGGGAUAAUGUUUUAGAUGAA